rnacentral:rRNA from 1 species
UACGUAGGGGGCAAGCGUUGUCCGGAUUUAUUGGGCGUAAAGCGCGCGCAGGCGGUCUACCAAGUUCGGAGUGACAGUUUCCGGCUUAACCGGAAAAGGUCUUCGAAAACUGGUGGACUUGAGGACUUGAGGGGGAGACGGAAUUCCGGGUGUAGCGGUGGAAUGCGUAGAGAUCCGGAGGAAGACCGGUGGCGAAGGCGGCCUGCUGGGCAGUUUCUGACACUGAUGCGCGACAGCGUGGGGAGCAAACAGG